GUCGCCUUAAUUGAAAUUUAAAGAUUCUCUUUAUUGAAAAGUUAGCCUUUAUUUUCUUUUGUUAUAUGGAUUGGUGUCUAUGUUUGUUCAAUUCUAGAAAUCAUGAGUGUUUUUCUUGCUGCCUCAUCCCUUUAAUUUCGCAAGCUUACGUUGUUUGUUUCUCACAUUAAUUCAUUGAAUAUGGCCUUCUUCCUUUUACCUUUAUUCAUUCUUAAUAUGAACAUUAAUC
rnacentral:lncRNA from 1 species